GCUAAAUCUUACAAUACUAAAAGUAAGAUAUCAAGCCCUCUAAAGGCAUCCACGUCAAAUUAAAAAAUCAACCAAUAAAAAUGCUUUUGACUGCCAUGUCACUACCGCUUUUGUAGACUGAAGAGAAAAUGGGCUUUCGUUUGGUUUUAAAAGUAGUUAACCAUGACCCGUGUGAAGCCUACCUCUCUAAACCUAAUCUUCUUCGACGUAGAGUCUGGCGUUUCCAUUCCCUGCAAUCUCCGUUUCUUCUCUGUAUUUAUCAUCACAACCAGUCUAGAUCAUUAAGUUCUGUUCUUCAAUCCUUUUAUAGUGGUAAAACGAAACCAAACAUCUGUAGCAACAAUGUUCUCACCAAAGUGGAGAUGAUAAAGCAACUACUGAGAUUACCAAAGAUUGGAAUGGCAUUGACCAAGUCCUUCUCUGAAACCCUCACAGCGCUUCUGCAAAGAUUAGUUUACAUGGAGGACAAGUGAUUUCGUGGAGGAAUUACCAGGGCAAGGAGCUUCUUUUCACUAGCAACAAGUUUGGAGAUUGUGGAUCACUUGAUCAACAUGGGUUUGCAAGGAACAAAAUCUGGCUCAUCGAUGAGAACCCACCUCCCCUUGCCUCAAACGAGUCCUUUGGAAAAUCAUUUGUUGAUCUUCUUCUCAAAUCAACAGAAGAGGACUUAAAGCAAUGGCCUCACAGUUUUAAGUUCCGUCUUAAGGUUUCACUUGCCAUAGAUGGCGACUUAACAUUGGUUUCUCGGGUUAGAAACAUCAAUGGCAAGCCCUUUAGCUUCUCAUUCGCGUUAUGCAGUCUCUUUACGCAAUAGCUUGCUCAGAGUAGAGACUUCUGUCAUGAUAAUAUUCUUUUGCCAAGCCUAGAGUCUCAGAAACACAAUUUCCCUAGAAUGAUGGAUUUUUUCAACCCAAGGUGAUCCAGUGGGCAAAAGAGGGAGAAUAACCACACGCUCUUUGUUUAAAACUUGGGUUGACCACAUUGUGAAGAGUCUCCACAUUUUUAAAACCGAGAAGUCUCAACUUUGAUUGAUAAUUUUCCAUACUUAAAUGAUAGAAAAGAAUGUGCCACUGAGACAUAAGAUAUUUCUGCAGUUUUUUUUUUGUUUUUUUGAACAUCAGUCUGCAGAUUUUCUUGAUUGCAUAAAGAUUAUUUUCUGGUA